UGGCAACACUGAUUUUUACAUUAAAAUUGGUAGAGUAAGUCGGCAACCCAAAACGUCGUUCUUCCUUUUUAAUCUUGGACGUAGCGCACGACAGUCGGAAUUUUAUCGUUCAUUAUUUAAAUAAUCACGCAACGCAUUGACUCGUUUUAUACGAGUUAAAUAAAACUUCUCUCUUCGGAACAUGAGAGCCAAGUGGCGUAAGAAGCGUAUGCGAAGGCUAAAGCGCAAAAGGAGGAAGAUGCGUGCGAGGUCCAAAUAAAUGGUACAUGGGUGGGAUAAAUUACUGCCGUGAUUUCUGCUUAUGUACUAAAUAAAAAAAAUAUAAAAAUC